UCCGUGCCAGCAGCCGCGGUAAUACGGAGGGUGCGAGCGUUAAUCGGAAUUACUGGGCGUAAAGCGCAUGCAGGCGGCCUGUUAAGUCAGAUGUGAAAGCCCCGGGGCUUAACCUCGGAAUUGCAUUUGAAACUGGCAGGCUAGAGUCUUGUAGAGGGGGUAGAAUUUCAGGUGUAGCGGUGAAAUGCGUAGAGAUCUGAAGGAAUACCAGUGGCGAAGGCGGCCCCCUGGACAAAGACUGACGCUCAGAUGCGAAAGCGUGGGGAGCAAACAGGAUUAGAUACCCUGGGAG
rnacentral:rRNA from 1 species